ACAGAGAAUGUACUUUUCCCGCAAGGGANCUUUCCGCACAGGUGUUGCAGGGCUGUCNUCAGCUCGUGUCGUGAGAUGUUGGGUUAAGUCCCGCAACGAGCGCAACCCUCGCCUUUAGUUGCCAUCAUUUAGUGGCACUCUAGAGGAACUGCCGGUGACAAGCCGGAGGAAGGUGGGGAUGACGUCAAGUCCUCAUGGCCCUUAUGUCCUGGGCUACACACGUGCUACAAUGGUGGUGACAGUGGGAAGCUAGGCGGUGACGCCGUGCUGAUCUCUAAAAGCCAUCUCAGUUCGGAUUGUACUCUGCAACUCGAGUACAUGAAGGUGGAAUCGCUAGUAAUCGUGGAUCAGCAUGCCACGGUGAAUACGUUCCCGGGCCUUGUACAC
rnacentral:rRNA from 1 species